rnacentral:tRNA from 1 species
GUAAAUAUAGUUUAACUAAAACAUUAGAUUGUGAAUCUAAUAAUAGAAAAAUAGAAACUUCUUAUUUACC